GGUGUACUGUGGCUCAGCGAUAGAGCAUCUGCUUUGCAUGCAGAAGGCACCAGAUUCAAUCCCAGGCAUCUCCA